UACGGGGGGGGCAAGCGUUGUUCGGAAUUACUGGGCGUAAAGGGCGCGUAGGCGGCCAUCUAAGUCAGACGUGAAAUCCCCCGGCUUAACCUGGGAACUGCGUCUGAUACUGGACGGCUCGAGUUUGGGAGAGGGAUGCAGAAUUCCAGGUGUAGCGGUGAAAUGCGUAGAUAUCUGGAGGAAUACCGGUGGCGAAGGCGGCAUCCUGGACCAACACUGACGCUGAGGCGCGAAAGCUAGGGGAGCAAACGGG
rnacentral:rRNA from 1 species